rnacentral:rRNA from 1 species
UACGUAGGGUGCGAGCGUUAAUCGGAAUACUGGGCGUAAAGCGUGCGCAGGCGGUUCGUUGUGUCGGCGGUGAAAGCCCCGGGCUCAACCUGGGAAUGGCCGUUGAAACUGGCGAACUGGAGUGUGGCAGAGGGGGGUGGAAUUCCGCGUGUAGCAGUGAAAUGCGUAGAGAUGCGGAGGAACACCGAUGGCGAAGGCAGCCCCUGGGCUGACACUGACGCUCAGGCACGAAAGCGUGGGAGCAAACAGG